UACGGAGGGAGCUAGCGUUAUUCGGAAUUACUGGGCGUAAAGCGUACGUAGGCGGUUAUUCAAGUCAGAGGUGAAAGCCCGGGGCUCAACCCCGGAACUGCCUUUGAAACUAGGUAGCUAGAAUCUUGGAGAGGUCAAUGGAAUUCCGAGUGUAGAGGUGAAAUUCGUAGAUAUUCGGAAGAACACCAGUGGCGAAGGCGACUGACUGGACAAGUAUUGACGCUGAGGUACGAAAGCGUGGGGAGCAAACAGG
rnacentral:rRNA from 1 species